ACAAGCCUGACAGACAGAGAAGCUAUGGGAGGGGUUGAAGAUGGACCUGGAAUGGAUGGGCCUAGUGACACUGCGAGGCCGAGUGCAGAAGCGACAUUCAAUCAUUUUGAGAUGGAACCGAGCAUUUUGGUCUGCAUGGAGAGUUCAACUGAAGCGACUCAGUAGCAGCUCUACUCUGCGACUCAUAUCUCAGUCUACUUUGAAAGAGUCUACUUCUUCUGCAAAUGGAGAGUUCAACACAACAAAGACACGACUGUUGCUGUCAGUCAUCCAGCUGGAGACAGGACUCACUUCCAAAGCAAAGAAAGGAAUUUCUGCAGAACUCCCGAUGC